AUCAGGCUUCAUUAGCAGGACCUGGAGUGGCCUACCCAGUCUCCAGAUCUCAACCCCAUAGAAAAUUUGUGGAGGGAGUUGAAAGUCCGUGUUGCCCAGUGACAGCCCCAAAGCAUCACUGCUCUAGAGGAGAUCUGCAUGGAGGAAUGAGCCAAAAUACCAGCUACAGUGUUU